AUUGAACGCUGGCGGCAUGCUUUACACAUGCAAGUCGAACGGCAGCGCGGGCUUCGGCCUGGCGGCGAGUGGCGAACGGGUGAGUAAUACCUCUGAACGUGCCCUGUCGUGGGGGAUAGCUCGGCGAAAGCCGGAUUAAUACCGCAUACGACCUGAGGGUGACAGCGGGUGAUCUUCGGACCUCGCGCUAUUGGAGCGGCCGAGGGUAGUAGAGCUAGUUGGUGGGGUAACGGCCUAACAAGGCGACGAACUGUAACUGGUCUCAGAGGACGACCAGCCACAUGGGGAGUGAGGCAGGGCCCAGACUCCUGCGGGAGGCAGCGGCCGGGAAUCUUGGGCAAGGGAGGAGAGGCGAAUCCAGCAAUGCGGCGGAUGUGAUGAAGGCGUUAGGGUGGUAAAGCAAUGUUGGCGGGAAGGAAAAGAACUGUGCCAAUACCGCGGGUCAAUGACGGUACCCGCAGAAUAAGCACCGGCUAACUACGUG
rnacentral:rRNA from 1 species